UACAGAGGUGUCAAGCGUUGCUCGGUAUCACUGGGCUUAAAGGGCGCGUAGGCUGUGCGGUACGGUUCGGGUGAAAUCCCUCGGCUCAACCGAGGAACUGCCCGGGCGACGGCCGCGCUGGACUGCAUCAGGGGACGAUGGAACUCCCGGUGGAGCGGUGAAAUGCGUAGAUAUCGGGAGGAACGCCGGUGGCGAAAGCGAUCGUCUGGGGUGCAUGUGACGCUGAGGCGCGAAAGCUAGGGGAGCAAACGGGG
rnacentral:rRNA from 1 species